ACCACAUGAGCCAUGAGCCCAUAUACUUUUCCAAAAUUCGGUUUUUUUGAACAACCCUAAUGCGCAUGUUUCCCCUAACCGCUAUUUUGUUUCAGAAAAUGGACAUCAACGGAGAUGGUGUCGUAACUAUGGAGGAAUUCGUGGAACUGUGCAGUAAUGAUGAGACGAUCGCGGCCUCUCUGAACCUGUUGGACACGUGUUUCUGAGCCGUAUGUCUCCGGAGUCUCUCUGCGUCUCUCUGCGUCUCCGUACGUCUCCCGUCAGCCAUCACAGAGACAAGAAACAAGGCCGGAAGCCGGCAGCUGGACGCAUCAGUAUCAUGUCUUGGGACGGAGCUUCGAGAACUAUGUCGCUGCAAUGUAUGUACCAUAUAAAUGUAUAUCGCUGAAAUGUGUCAUCACAAUGUUCGCUGAAGUGUUGACUGCAAUGUGCUGCUGCAAAGCGCUGAGCUGUGCUGCAGGAAGUUUCAGAUGUAUGUACAUUCCUACCUAAUGUGUGCGCGAGUUAUUCGUACAUAUAUGUUAUACGCCAUUAAAACAUUGUCCGAUCUCCCAGACUGAUGCCAGUCCUCGUUACCCGGAAUCACAACUCGUGUGGUGAUCGCCCCACCACCACAAAAGGUCUCAACGUUGUGGGAAGCUGAUUGCUGCUACGGCUUGUAGCGAUGUUCCGCGCAUAUCUGCGGUUUAUAGCUGUCCGAUUCGGCGUCAGACCUCGCUGCAGCUGCCGGUCACGUAGCUGGCUUCUGAAGGCGCUGGUGUCGCUGUGGAUCUCUGAUGAAGCCGGCCGUUUUGUGCAGCUGUGGCGAGCUCGCAGCUGACAGCUAACCGAUGCUAUUAUUUCAUCAAUCCUUUACCACACAUAAGUUGGGUAUUGGAGGAAAGAGGCGAGCAUUUCACUUCAGCUAUGGCGCUAGUCGUUUUAACCCGUUGGUGAAACAUUCCGUUGCCAGAAAUAUGUGAUUGUCGGGAGGGAAAUCGUCGUCAAGUGGCAAUUCUUCCUUCCAUUGGCAGUGCUUUAUUUGGCGGUGGACAGAAAUAUAUGAUGUGCAGUAGUGCUUACGACGCUGAAGCCACAAACAUGUCGUACCCGAAGGCUUUGUCCGCAUGUGUGAUAUAUGUUGGUUAUGUUAUCGUUCAAAACUUUAUCUGACAAGGCUGGCAGUGUCUCGACCGGUAAGUAAGUGGCGCUUUAUUUGGUCGUAAGCUCUCGCGAAAAGAGACUCGUGCUACAGGCCAACUAGCGGCUAUUGUAUUCGUCGCCGUCCGUUCGCGUUGUAAGACAGCCAGGGAUAUAACUGUGAGAUCAUAUGAGAUGAACUGUGAGAGUUAAAAGAGUGUUAAGGAUUAUUUUAGAAAAGUGUGGAAUUGCCUGUUACAGCUUAUGAAGUUAUGACAGUGAGAGCUCCUGAGAUAAUCCUGCGAGAACGCGAGAAGAGCGCUUGACUUCCUGUAAAAGAAUCUGGGACUGCUUCUAGUCAUGAGAACGUGUGGGCCACCAGCAAAAAUUAAUGAGGCUGCAUGCGAGAACUUAUGGCGUGCCUGUAAGAGCGUUGACUGCCUGUGAGAGCCCCGUGAGCCUGUCCGUGAGAGAGUGAGCAGCGCGCUCCGCUUUAGUGGUGGCCGGGCGCCGGUUUGUUGUGUCGGUAUGAGCACUCCGCGCACACCGCAGGUCACGUCACGGCCGCCCCACACUCACACAUACACACCCACUGUCAAAACCAUGUGUUUGUGUCAUGUUUAUCUGUGAAAUAUACAAUUUGUGUCAUGA
rnacentral:lncRNA from 1 species